UGGGGAAUAUUGGGCAAUGGGCGCAAGCCUGACCCAGCAACGCCGCGUGAAGGAAGAAGGCUUUCGGGUUGUAAACUUCUUUUCUGAGGGACGAUAAUGACGGUACCUCAGGAAUAAGCCACGGCUAACUACGUGCCAGCAGCCGCGGUAAUACGUAGGUGGCAAGCGUUAUCCGGAUUUACUGGGUGUAAAGGGCGUGUAGGCGGGAUGGUAAGUCAGAUGUGAAAAUCUAUGGGGCUCAACCCAUACCCUGCAUUUGAAACUAUCGUUCUUGAGUGUUGGAGAGGCAGGCGGAAUUCCGUGUGUAGCGGUGAAAUGCGUAGAUAUACGGAGGAACACCAGUGGCGAAGGCGGCCUGCUGGACAAUAACUGACGCUGAGGCGCGAAAGCGUGGGGAGCAAACAGGAUUAGAUACCC
rnacentral:rRNA from 1 species